rnacentral:rRNA from 1 species
UGGGGAAUUUUGGACAAUGGGGGAAACCCUGAUCCAGCCAUCCCGCGUGUGCGAUGAAGGCCUUCGGGUUGUAAAGCACUUUUGGCAGGAAAGAAACGUCAUGGGUUAAUACCCCGUGAAACUGACGGUACCUGCAGAAUAAGCACCGGCUAACUACGUGCCAGCAGCCGCGGGAAUACGUAGGGUGCAAGCGUUAAUCGGAAUUACUGGGCGUAAAGCGUGCGCAGGCGGUUCGGAAAGAAAGAUGUGAAAUCCCAGAGCUCAACUUUGGAACUGCAUUUUUAACUACCGGGCUAGAGUGUGUCAGAGGGAGGUGGAAUUCCGCGUGUAGCAGUGAAAUGCGUAGAUAUGCGGAGGAACACCGAUGGCGAAGGCAGCCUCCUGGGAUAACACUGACGCUCAUGCACGAAAGCGUGGGGAGCAAACAGG